rnacentral:misc_RNA from 1 species
ACAGGACUUACCUGAUGGCAAGGUGAGGGAUUGAUCUAUGCUUUGUCUCUCACCUUUUGUCUUUCCAUGAUCCAUCCCAUGCGUAGCAGAGCUGAUUUAGAGUUUUAUAUUUGGUUAUUUCUACUGUUAUUGGUGGUUUGUUGUGGUUUAGAGUUUUAUAUUGAUUAGUUGUCUCUACUUUGAUUGGUUGUUUUUUUAUUUUUAUAUUGGGUUUUGAUUAUUUUGAAUCUAAUUUGAUUUAGAGUUUAGUUUUGCAUUUGUGGGUUUGGUUUAAAA